CAGUAGCCGCGGUAAUACGUAGGGUGCAAGCGUUAAUCGGAAUUACUGGGCGUAAAGCGUGCGCAGGCGGUUCGUUAAGACAGAUGUGAAAUCCCCGGGCUUAACCUGGGAACUGCAUUUGUGACUGGCGGGCUAGAGUAUGGCAGAGGGGGGUAGAAUUCCACGUGUAGCAGUGAAAUGCGUAGAGAAGUGGAGGAAUACCGAUGGCGAAGGCAGCCCCCUGGGCCAAUACUGACGCUCAUGCACGAAAGCGUGGGGAGCAAACAGGAUUAGAUACCCCAGUAGUCCUGUCUCUUAUACA
rnacentral:rRNA from 1 species